rnacentral:tRNA from 1 species
GUUUUUAUAAUUUAAGUAAAAAUAUUGGUCUUGUAAACCAAAAAUGAUCUAUUUCUAAAAACA